AGCGGCUGCUGGGUAACCAGGCUGUAGGAACCAGUGGAACGCGCGUGCAUCUUGUCGUCCACCAAGUGGUUCAGCUUGAGCAUGUACAUGUAACCAACGGUCACAGGACGCUCGAACUUGUUGCCGGUACGGCCGUCGAACAGCACCAUCUGGCCGCUCUCUGGCAGGUCGGCCAGUUUCAGCAUGGCCUUGAUCUCGCGCUCCUUGGCACCAUCGAAGACCGGGGUAGCCAUCGGCACGCCUUUCUUCAGGUUGUUAGCCAGGGCCAGGAUCUCUUCGUCGGUGAACUCGUCGAGGUUUUCCUGACGACCGCCGAUCUCGUUGUAGACCUCGGUCAGGAACACGCGCAGCUCAGCGGCUUUACGCUGCUCUUCGAGCAUGCGGUCGAUCUUCUCGCCCAGACCCUUGGCCGCGAGGCCCAGGUGGGUUUCAAGGAUCUGACCAACGUUCAUACGCGAAGGUACACCCAGCGGGUUCAGUACGACGUCAACCGGAGUACCGUUGGCAUCGUGCGGCAUGUCUUCAACCGGCAUGAUGACCGAGACAACACCCUUGUUACCGUGACGACCGGCCAUCUUGUCACCCGGCUGGAUGCGACGGCGGAUUGCCAGGUAAACCUUGACGAUCUUCAGUACGCCCGGUGCCAGGUCAUCGCCCUGCUGCAGCUUGCGCUUCUUGUCUUCGAACUUGUCGUCCAGCAAACGGCGACGGUCGACGAUGUACUGCUGAGCCUUUUCCAGCUGCUCGUUCAGUGCAUCUUCAGCCAUGCGCAGUUUGAACCACUGGCCGUGCUCCAGACCGUCCAGCACCUCGUCAGUGAUCACGGUGCCUUUCUUCAGGCCCGCACCACCAUCAACCACCUGGCCGUUCAGGGCAGAACGCAGACGCUCGAAGGUUGCACCUUCAACAAUGCGGAACUCUUCGUUGAGGUCCUUGCGGAUCUCGUCGAGCUGCAUCUUCUCGAUGGCCAGCGCGCGACUAUCGCGCUCUACGCCAUCACGGGUGAAGACCUGUACGUCGAUGACAGUACCCUUGGUGCCGGUUGGCCCAGGCUGUAAGAACCGGUAGAACGAGCGUGCAUCUUGUCGUCUACCAAGUGGUUCAGCUUCAGCAUGUACAUGUAGCCAACACGCAGGGAUGUGU
rnacentral:rRNA from 1 species